CUGCUUUAACCCAUAGUGUACUGAUUUUAUAGUCCGACACUCAUAAGGCAAUUUAUUCCACCUAGUGUAAGUACAGUUCUAUGGUAAGGAACAGUUAGAAGUGAACUAUGUAGGGCUCCAUGUAUACACAGGUAUAUAGCUCCUAAAUGUAAUGUUGAGUGGAAAAGUUGCUAAAGGGUACACACACUAUGAUACUUUAUAUAUAAUGCCUGAAAACCUGCAAUAUCAUUGAUCACUCAGGGAUAUUUAUGUAUUUUAUCAAAGCAUGAAGACAUACCUGAAAAUGAUAAACAUAAAAUUCAGGAUGAUGGUUUUCAUUGGCAGUGGAUCAAAGAGGGAAGUGUAAUCACAGAAAGGUUACACAAGAGGCUUUAUAAAGUUUUACAUGUUUAGACUUGAUGGUAGAUACAUGGAUGUUCCUCGUAUUACUCUCUGGGCCUUUUUGCUCUUUUGAAUGUUUUCAUAAAGAAAGAAUAAACAAUAAGAAGGUUUAGUCUGGCAGGAGCAUAGGAUGUGAGGCGGCCAUUGGAAGAGGUAUGGUAGAGCGGGGCAGGGUCAGCUCAGAAGGACCGUGCAGUAGCUUUGCACCUGAAGAUCCCGAGAGGCCCCUGAGGAGGUUUAGCGGUGGUGUGGAGACUGUCUUGGAGGCGGGGUGACGAGUCAGAUGGAUGCUGCACGACUCAAGUGGGAGACAACAGUGAGUGGGCUACACUCGGAAUACAGAAGAAAGGACAGAGUGAAACUGUCAGCUCAUGUUGCCUCAGUGCUUCCUCCUUUCUUUCUCAGGCUCCUUUGCCAAGUGGCUUCUGGAGAACUUCCGCUAAUGGGAGGCACUGUGAGAGGAUGGAGCGGGGAACGAAGAAGCCUGGGUAUUCCUUCCUCUCCCCAUUUCUCUGCUUCCAGUGGCCUCUCCAACAGGGACUGUGCCUCCUUCACAUCCACCUCCCGUGAGACAGCUCCUCUGCCGGUGCAGCCAGUUCUCACCAGGGAGCCCUGGCUUCUGGGCACGGGUAAUAAGUUUGUCCCAUCAGCCUAGAGCAGGUGACAACUUCCAAUUGUUGCUGAUGCCUGGGUCACAUCAUUGACCCCUGCUCUGCAUCUCAGCUCUUCCAACACCCUGGUAGCUGGUUCUCUGUGUUAAAUCUCCCGUUGAUCUCUGUCUGGACCCUGACUGAGACAUACACUUUUUGGAUGCUUUAUAUUUUGUCUUCUGUGGGAAACAGAGGCAUGGUGGCUAAAUGAGCAGGGCUGUGGCCUCACAAGUACUAAGGCAGCUAGAGGCUACUAGAGGCACCUGAAGCUCUGACUGAGGUACUUUCUUCACAAAUGGUGGAAACUCCUGAGAAGACAUGGCUUCUUCCAUGGAUAUCAAUGACUGCCAUCAGGCCAGCCAGGCAGACUCAGUCAUCAAUUGGGCCCACCAUUAAAAUCAGCUUUCCUGUUUGAGGAGACGCUAAUUCUUCUUUGGAAGGACACAGCAGCAGUGGGGAAUCAGGGUAAAUUUCUAACCAGACCUGCUGCCAGAUGAACAAGUCCCCUGGGAAGGAAUCCCUUCUUCAGUCUUCAAGUCAAACUGCUUCUGUGCUAACCAAAGGCUAAGCCUGCCAGGGAGGGGGCAGUGCCACCUGCUUCCAAAGGCGCUGUGACAGCUCUUGUUUAUUGAAGAGGGCUGCCCAUCCCAGUGAAGUAAGAUAACCAGGAAUUUUAUUUCUGAGAGAGAGUAUCCUGGGCCUCCACAUCAAGGAGCAGGAAAGCUCAGCCUUGGCUUCUUGAGCUAUAUCCCAGGGAGCUGUAUCAGCAAAUGGACAGGUGGAACUCUGAUGCCUUCACCAAGAUGGUUGAACAAGAGAACAAGAUAGAGUUCUCAUCAGCUGAACAAAAGAAAUCAUGACAGAGACUAGAAGAUGUAAAGGCCUAGUUUCGGAGACAGAGACAAGUAAUUUCCCUGAAAUGUUAUUUGUGCCAUGUGGGUCACAGCUGAACUGCUGAGGGAAGCAUUUUCAGAACAUCACAGAGGGAAGAGUCAUGGGUCUAAACCUUUUAAAGACUACAUUUUUUAAAGGUCAACUGCUUUUUCCCUGGAGGGGAUCCUUGUAAUAGGUACUAUAGAGAAGGAUAAUUAAUAAUCAUGAUGUUGAGAAAGUGGCCUGAAAAAGAAAAAAAAAAAACUUGGAACCAGCUUCUCAUCGAAGAUGUGCCUCUCUCCCUCCCUGCAUUGCUGUGAUCUAGGGUUGCAGUGAUGCCCAGUUUUCCAGACCCUAGCUCUCACAGUCCGGACCAACUUGCAGCUGCAUUUCAGUAUCAAUCCAAUUUACAGAGCUGGAAUUACGUUGUAGCGGGGCCCACUAACAUGAACAUACAUUGUAAAUUCUUUUUCCUCCUAUUUGUAUUUUCAAUAUUCUUUGUUAAUUGUGAUAAUCCCUUAUGACAAAUGUGUGAUGUAUUUGCGUACCUCAGAUUGAGCAUAUGUCUGGUAUGAAACAAGUUGCCCCACAAAAAAUUGGGGAGAGGCCGGGCAUGGUGGCUCAUGCUUGUAAUCCCAGCACUUUGGGAGGCUGAGGCAGGUGGAUCACUGAGUCCGGGAGACCAGCCUGGGCAACGUGGCAAGACCCCAUCUCUACAAAAAAAUGCAAUACUUAGCUGGGCAUGGUUAGGCACACCUGUGAUCCCAGAUACUCAGGAGGCUGAGGUGGGAGGAUCAUUUGAGCCCAGGAGGUCAAGUUUGCAGUGAGCUGUGAUUGUGCCACUGCAUUCCAGCCUGGCAACAGAAUGAAACCCUGUCUCAAAACAACACAACCACACACACACACACACACACACAAAAUUGGGGUAAGAACAAAAAAUUGGGGGAAGAAAUUGGACAUAUGAGUUUUGAAGGCAUAACAUCUGCCUUCUCAUUGCUGAGACAAGUCAUCUAUUUUUAACUUCCAUUUUCACGUUAAGGAUUUCUCCCAGGCUAUCCUUCAAUCUCUACCAUCUCUGAAUUCCAAAGUUUUCUGUCCUUGCUCCUUGGGGUGUUCCGCAGCCUCCUGUCAGACUCUCCAAGGCUCCUUGUCUGCUGGGACUGUGCAUGCCCCACCGAGGCCACAUCCUACCAAUAUUGCAGCUUGGCUCCAGAAUGGAUUAGAUAAUUUUUGCUAAGCUCCUGCAGCUAGGUGUGUUUUUGUGAGGCUCACCCUAUUCUCAGAGUUGUGAAUCAUGACAGCUGACCCUUACUGAGCACGCAUAUAUGCUAGGCACGUGCUAUGCUUUUUAUGUGCAUCAUCUUGGUUAAUCCUAAUAAGAAGCUCAUCCUUCUCAUCAGCUCUGCUUUACAGAUGGGACACUAAGGAACAGAGAGGUUAAAUGACAUGCACACAGUUACAAAUCUAGUGGUAGUGCUGGAAUUUGAACCCAGUCAACCUGACUCCAGAAUCUGUGUUCUUGAUCAUGAUGCUAUUGAUGGGUUCCAGCUUUUAGCCCAUUUCCUGCAGGGUCCUUUGAGUUGCAGUUAAUUGGGUCAGGUGCAGCUGUACCAUGAGAUAAGAUAGGUGUUCAAUAAAUUCCACCCUAGAAUCAUUUGUUGAACAUUUACUGGGUACAAGACACUGUGCUCACUUGUAAACCUGGGGUGUGGGUUUUGGUGUGGAGAUGAAACAUGCUAUUUAGUCACUGAAAUGAUCAAGAAGGAAAUCCUUUUGUUUGUAAGAAUAGUAGAUCUGACCUGAGACAAAAUUGUGAUCUUUCUGUGUCUCAUUGUCUGGCCUUUCUCAAACCCUGACCCUGUCCUUUCUUCAACUUAGGAAGCCUCUUCUGCUUUUCCACCCAGGAUCUUCUCUCCAUGUUUCUGAACCCAGCGCUGCACUCAGAAACAGGGCAGGUGCCUCUCCGUGCAUCUGAAGGCUUUACCUUCAGACCGUCCAGGUGUGCAUACUUCAAUGUUUAUUUAGUUGCCUGCCUCUGGGGAGCAUCCCAGCCUCACUGAGCUUAUACCUUGGGACACCUUGGAAGGUGAAGGCAGCCGAGUCCUUAUCGUAGAGUAAAAUAAGACAAGAACUCUAAAGUGAGGAAAGGCCCCAAACUAAGCAACAAAAGGUGUUGUUUUCUUGAAAAUGAUGACGGAAAUAUUACAAAUAUUGAUUGGUUGCAGAGGUAAUACAUUUGUCAAAGCUCAUCAAAUUGUGCUAAGGAAUACCUUUGCAUUUGUCUGUGUAUAAAUUUUACCUAAAUAAAAGCUUUUUUUUCCUAAGAAAUAAAAAUGCCAUAGUGCUAAAAGGACACUAGUAAGCAGAGAGCCGUUUCCAAGUACAUCAUCUAAGAGCCAUUUGUUCAACAAAUAUUUAUUGAGCACCUGAUAAGUACCAGGGACUGUCCUAGAAUCCAUCAGCAAUGAGACAAAGGUCCCUGUCUCCAUGGAGCUUACAUGCUAGCAGGGCCCUUGAAAGUGGCAGGCAGAGGCGGGCGCUUUGGCUGAUUGUUUGCCCUGAUUGCUGAUCUCAAGAGGAGCAACUGGAAGCUCUAGUCUCAGAGGGGCUCAGUGAUUCAUGGAAAAGGGAGUUUCCUGAAUGUCAGGUCUAGGGUUAGGCUGCAGCCCAUGCUGAGGUCUGAAGGGAGUGGGUGGAUGAAUGGCAGAUAGCUGAAAGAACACUUAAGGAGCUGUAGGUAGGUGAGAUACAGCUUUAUUCAGCAGCUCUCUCAUCAGCAGCUCUCUUACACGGUCUGCUCUGUCUCAGCUGCUUGAUCUGGCUGCUCCCAUGCACAGCUGCGCUGCUGGCUUUCCCUUCAGGGUCAGCAGCUUAACUCUUUCUCUGUCUGGGCAUGAGCGGGCCUAUACAGUGUCAGCAGGGCAAUUAUACCUUUUACAGACAAUAGUGGCUUAGAGCCAAAUGAUGAGCCUUCCCAUGCUAUGGCUACAUGGAUGUGAUGACAAGUGGAGUAAUACACCUAUGCUCUAAACUUGCUGAAUCACUCUCGGUGUUUACCUGGGGCUAUCGCUGACCGAAGCAUAGCCAUGUUCCUUACACUGAAAAAGCCUCUGAAUGCCUAGGGGAAAAAAGUCCUUACAUGCUUGGGGGCUAGAGCCGCACUUUCCGGUGAGGCCCAGAAGAGUCUGCAAAUCUUCCAGCCCCAUCCCCAGUGUCUCUUUGUGGCUUGAGAGGGUGGCUCACCCACCGCCUUACCAUAUGAUCCAUGCCCUCUCCCCCCUAGCAAGGCACCUCCACCAGGGGCCCGGCUUCCUUCAGGCACAUGUGCCCACAGGGCAUGGGCUCUGGCAGAGGCCAGCAAACCUGGAGGCUGGAAGCUCAUUUUCUGAGCUCCAGGAAGGGCGGGGAGGUGUGGGUUCUUUUUGAAACCAGACCUAUGUGCUUAGAAACACCACAGAAGGGCUGGGCAGAGCCACUGGGGGUUGGAUGGGGUUGCUGUGAAUCAUAGGAACUCUAGGCUAGAAGAAGCCAUCUGAGAGGGGAGGUAGGUUCUUUUGAAGUCUCAAAAUCUUUAUUUAAAACAGAAUCCAAGAACCUUUGAUCAUGCAGCAAAGUUUAUGACAUUAUAUACGUAAUAAAGGACAAUGAAGCAACAUAUAAUCCUUGUUAAUUAAAAUGGUCUAAAUUACAUGUAAUCUCUGAAUUUACAAAGAUAGCACAAUGUAUGCAAUAAAUCCUAUUUCACAGUCUUUUUUUAGUAACAACAAG
rnacentral:lncRNA from 10 species